ACGGAGGGAGCAAGCGUUGUUCGGAUUUACUGGGCGUAAAGGGCGUCUAGGCGGAUUCGCAAGUCAGAUGUGAAAUCCCCCGGCUCAACCGGGGACCUGCAUUUGAUACUGCAAGUCUUGAGUACGGAAGAGGAGAGCGGAAUUCCUGGUGUAGCGGUGAAAUGCGUAGAUAUCAGGAAGAACACCGGUGGCGAAGGCGGCUCUCUGGUCCGAUACUGACGCUGAAGCGCGAAAGUGCGGGGAGCAAACAG
rnacentral:rRNA from 1 species